ACUGGAAGUAAAUGGGGUAGCCCGAUUCUUCAUGAUUCUUCACUCCAUAUAACAUGUUUCGUGUGGCAGCAUGCUUUACACAACUAAAUCUGACACUUGGUAUUGUACUUGCUGAUGUGAGGCUUGCAUGCAGCUGCUCGCCCAUGGAAAACAAUUCCGUGAAUUUCUUGAUGCACAGUUUUUGUGUUGAUAUUAAUUAAUUAAUUAAACGCUUCCUCUUUACAAUCAUACCACUUAUAGUUGAACAUGAAAUAUCUAGCAGAGAUAAAAUUUCACUAACUUAUUGCAAAGGCUAUCACAGUACCACACUUGAAUUCUCUUCAGAACGACCCAUUUUCUUUUCACAAAUGUUGGUAAAUGCAGACUGUAUGGCUUGAUUUUAUACAACUGUGGCAAUGGGUCUGAUUGAAACACCUGAAUUCAAUAACUAAGAGGUGUGCCCCAAUGCUUUUGUCCAUAUACAGUAUCUUUAGGUGUAACACAUAAAUAUUCACAUGCAACAAAUUAGGGGUGUGCAAUAAAAAAAUUAAUACUUAGCUCUGAGAGAGAUGUACUUAUAAAGUAUUCAUAUUUCAAGCAAUAUAAAAAAAAAUAUUGCAUUCUACGUUUUGGCAAUCCACCAAAAACAAAAACACUAUAUGUAUCUCACUCACAUUUUUAUGAGCCUUACAGAUCCAGGCUCAGAAGAUAUACAGCUGUAGACUGUGUAGUGUAAUUUGUCCUUACACACAACUCAGACCAUGUGUAGCAAAAGCAAAGUGGGAAUGGAACAAACUUAUAAAGAGAACCGGGAUGCAAAGAAGAAAGAGUCGAGAAAUGCUUUUGUUGAUAUACUGUAUAAGCUUGGAUGCAUGGAUGUCUGGCGCCAUCCGAAUGAUGUCUUGAAUCACACAGGUAGUCUAGUAAGCCUCCGCUUGGUAAUGCAGAACAGUGACUUCAGUCUGCCUCCUCCCUCUUGUGUCACAAUGCCACGCUAUACAUCCUUCACAUUUAUUAAGCUUCCAAUAGACAUGGAUCGAGGUUGUCCUCUACUGUGUUUAUAUUCCAUCCCACUAAUUCUUAGGCUUUUUGAUACUUGGUCUCUAUCCUACAUCAUAUGUAUGUGUAUUGCGUAGACAUCACAGUGCCAUUUACUAUAUUAAUAGUAUAAUUAUUCCCACAUUAAAAAUUACCAAAAUGUCUUGGGUUUGUAAUAUAGCCAAUAUUUUUUGUGUUCUUUUUGCAUUA